UCAUAACCAAACCCUAAUAUCUUCAGCCUCCACCCCUCUAAACACUAGAAAUCAUCAUAUAGCAACCAUGGUGGCAUUUUGGAGCUUAUGGAGUCCAUUCUUGAGAUAUUUGGCCCAUUUUCAAGAAGAUGGAACUUGUUGCAAGGAAGGGAAUUAAGGAGGAGCUUAUGGAUCUGGCUUUUAGGACUCAUUUUCAGCUUGAUGAAGGUAUAAAGCUUUGAACUUGAUCAUUCAUCUCUUAGAUCUACCAUUUUUGGGUUUUGGUUUCUUUUUGGUCCCAAGGUUGAAGCUUUAUGGUUCCAAAUCCAUUUUUUAGGCUUGGGGUUGCCACCCUUGAUGCUAUUUGAGUCCCUAAGGCAGAAAGUUGCCAUCUUGAUGGUCUUAAUGGGUUCAUGCUUGAGUUAGGGUCACCUUUAUGGAAGUAGAAUGCCAUUUUUGGAGUUUGGGUUUGUUUGGGGCAUGCAAAGUCACCAAGUCAGUGACUUUAUGGGUUUAGACGUUAAGUAUAGCUUAGAUCUAUGAUUUGGACUUAUUGGAUCAAGUAUUAAGCACUUAAUGGAUUUUGUGCAUGAGCUGUUUGUACGUUGGGCGUACUAUGUAGUACGCGGCACGUACAAUCCAUUUGCUCAGUACGCUAAAUGUACAGAAGAGGUACGUUGGGCGUACGCUCUCAGGAGGACUUGGGCCUUUGUGGACUUCGGACGUUUAGGCCCUAAUGGUUUUGGGCCUGGAUUUACUGAUAGUUGGGCCUGAAUGCAUCUUUAGGCCAAUAAUGGAAUAGUUGGGCCUAUUGGGCCUUGUGGCCCAAUAUAGAAAUGAACUUCGCAUUAUGGGCCUCGGGUUGGGCCAAUUCUUGGACUAGGUUGUUGUGGGCCUUCGUGCGCCAAUUGGGUCGGGAUUAAUGACUAAGGAGAAUAUUGGGCUUUAGUAUAAGAUCCAUUAGAAAGGUCUGGGCCCAAUUUGGAAAAUUGGGCUAAUGAUGGAUUUAUGGACAUUAUAGUGUUCGACUUUUGGUUUGGGUUUGGGCCUUAGUUUUGAAUCAUACAGGACCGGCGGUAGAAUGGUCAUUUCACCCAAUGCAUGGAUUAAGGAUUAUGCUAUGGACCCAAUUGCUAAUUGGGUAUAUGAUUGGUAGUGACAGCUCGGGAAGCUGGCGAGGCAGCAGCUAAUGAUUUCAUGCGGGAAGCUUCUGCAGUGCGAGGUGAGUCUCCUCACCAUACCAAUGGGUCUAAGGCACCAAGGCCGGCCCAUUAUGUGUUACGAUAUAUAUGUGUUAGCCAUUCUGUGAAUUUAUAUGCUUUGUGAUUGUGCUUGCAUGAAAGACCUCAGGGGGUUCCCGGGGCACUUAGGUGUAAGACCUUGGAGGGUUUCCUUGGCAUCCUAGGUCAAAGACCUCGGGGGGUUCCCGAGGCACUUAGGUAUAAGACCUUGGAGGGUUUCCUUGGCAUCCUAGGUCGAAGACCUCGGGGGGUUCCCAAGGCAUUGGGCUAAGACCAUGUGGGGGUUCCCAUGGAACCCGGAGUAAGACCCUGGAGGGUUUCCAGGGCUUCCCUAUGUGUUGGCUUGCAUGGUUUAUGCGUUCUGUAUAGCUGAUUAGCUAGUAUGAUAUGUUAUACAUGAUUGUGUGUGGGUAUGCUCUGGGGAACUCACUAAGCUUCGUGCUUACAGUUUUGUUUAUUGUUUCAGGAAUCAUCGAUUUGGAAAAGAAGGGCUCGGAUUGAUCGCAGCGUACACACCCAUGAUUUUCGUAAUUAUAGAUUUUGGGAUGAACUCUGAUAAAUGCUUUUAAUUAACGAUGUUUUGGAAUGAUUGAAAUAAAUGAUAUAAAUGUUUGGCUAUAAUAAAAAUGAAUUUUUUUUUUUUACCUUUGAUAUUUGGGUUGUUACAAGUUGGUAUCAAAGCCUGAGUUUGAGGGAUUUGGACAUACUUUCGGGUGUGUCUGAACUCAAACUGAGGAUCUGUCAAAUUUUCAAAAGGAAAAUGUUUUAACUAAAGAAUUUCUAAGACAAGAAAGGGUGUUGUGCAUGCAAUCAGUCGAGCUCAAGUAAGUUUCCCAGGAUACUCACAGUUGUUAUCUAUUAUGAUUUGAUUUAUGAAUCUGAGAAUCGCAUGCUAGUUAGGGCUAGGGGAGAUGCUUGUAUAUGUUGUAUGAGUUGGUAGACAUGCAUGCUAGUGCUGAGAAGUCAACGAUAGAUUGGCCUGAUAUGUGAUGCUUGUAGCUUUGGAGAUACUGGAUGUCAUGCUAGAAUGAGAAUGAUUAUUUAUAUUGGUAACUAUUGUGUAUGUUUUAAAAAUUGUAUACGAUUAGGACUCGUUUCCUGUUCUGUGUACAAUUUGCAUGCAUAAAGGCAGCCGACAGCGAGGGUGAAAGUGGACAGCAUGGGUUGUGGUAUGUGGGCUGAAUGUUCUAUGAUAGCUUGUGGGUCGGAGAUUACCCUAGGGUGAGCCUAGGAUGAGAUUCGUGACAGGAGUCACCCGAUUGAGAAUUAUAUGUAUAGUUAGAAUUGUCUAAUUGAAAUAUGUUGGUUAGUUUUUCCGUUGUCCGAAUGCUGCUUGCUUUGUGCUUUGUGGGACUUUUAGCAAUGUGAGCUAGCUACUAAGUGAAUAUGCUAGGUCACAUGUGUACAGGCCGGAUAAUCUCAGAGUGAUGGAUUUGGCCCUAUUACGCAGCUCUUGUUUGAGUCCAACCGUUCUAGGGAUGAGUCUUUUACUUGAAGGAAUAUCUGAUCUCUGCUA
rnacentral:lncRNA from 1 species